CUGAAACUGGCUCUGGCAAUAAGUACAGAUGUCUUGUUCCCAUAAGUCCUGAAAUAAAAUCUUCCAUACCUUAGUCACAAUUUAUGUUCCAAACACUAGCUUAAUGAUAACUAAGUUAUUUUACUAAAUUCUUUGUUAUAUUUAAAGUAAUUGAAAGAAACAGAGCAUCUCACAAUAAAUACAGCAACAAAAGGGUAAAC